GCCAUAAUAAAAUGCCUAGAUUGCGAAAUCUCUGCUAUGAUAUCGUUUUCCUGGAGUUCUAUGGCUCAUCAUUUCCUCACCGUGGCAUUGAUGGCAAAAUUUCUCCCAUUACUGCCUUUAUCCUUCACCCACUGGGCUGCAAAAUCUCUUACAAUAUUUGAUUUAUGUUGCUGGAGUGGAAAUGUGAGAGAAUUGUGCAGAUGACUGAGAAAAAAACAGAGGGCCCGCGUGGGGUCAUGGGAUCCUGGCCUCACAGCUGGCAAAACGCGCUCCAAACUUGGUUUGCACUUGCCUUGCUCAUCACUUUAGCGAGUGAUUGGGGCUGGGAUUUUUCAAUGCUCUAAAAAGCAUAGGUGGCAAGGCAGGGCAUGUGGAGAGAGUGGACUCCAAACAAAUGUACAUGGCAACA
rnacentral:lncRNA from 1 species